AGCAGUUCAGUCUGGUUCAGUUUCUCUCUCUAAAAACCUUGGUCGUCAUUCAGCAUAUUACAGAGCGGGGCCUGUAGUCCCAGGCUGCAUAUCAAAGGAGUGAGAUGCUCCUGCCUCCAUCAGGAUCCAUGGACACUAGACAAUCUUUGUCAUUUCCUGAAGUCAUGCUGCCGUUUCCGGAAGGCAGCUGAUGCUUUGCUCAGCCUUCCGUGCUGUGCUGUGCUUCCGUCAGGAGAUGGCCCUGCUUAAGCCAGCAAGUGGCCAUAGUCCAGAGAACAAAGCAAAAGCAUAACAUUGUGAAUUUUCUGAUUGUAUUUCCUGCAAUUUUCUGUUGAGCAUUUAAAAAUAUAUACUAUACAUAUUUUAAUAAUAAGUAUAAUUAGUUUGUUCCAGGAAUGCUUGGUUUUGCAAUGAUGGAGAAAAUUCCUGAAUUAUUUAUCAUGUCUAAAAAAUAAUUAUGUACUAGUCAUAUGGCACAUGGAAUUCUUGAAUCCUUGAAUUAAUUCCAGUGAAGCAAAACUUGGAAAGAGUCAGGAUUGUCUCUAAUGAAUCCCUACUUUGAGAAGUGUCAUUUUAAAAAGCCCCACAACGCAUCUUAACCGUCACUAACCCAAGUGUUUUGUAUUUACUCAGACACCAUCAUGAAUAAUUCUGUGAGGUUAUGAUGUAUUUGAAAAUUCUGGAAGCUAAUGACUGUCUGAGUGUGCCCCAAAUAAGGGUUCUCCGGUGGCCCCAGUGGGCAACAUGUCCAUCUCCUUGUUGAGAUGCCAGAUCAAGGCAGGUGAAUGAUGCUACAGCUCAUCUGUGAUCUGUGCUGGUGUCAGAGGCAACCAGGAAGCCUGUACAAGGCCAGGGUGAUUCCUCUGGCCACAUGACCUUCUCAGGACAAGCCCCUCUUCUGCCACUGUGACCCCAGAAGACCCAGGACUGUGUAUCCCAGAUCAUUAUAUAGGGCAGUUUCUAUCAGGACAACAUAAGAAGAGAUCAGGGCUUGAACUUAAAAGCCACAAAGCAAUAGCAAUAAAAAUCCAAGCUUUUAUGGAGACAGUCAAGACCACA
rnacentral:lncRNA from 1 species